GUGGAGACCUCAUUUCCCUAUGAUAACUCUUUCAUGGAGAAAAGGGGUCCCAUGAAGUGAAGUGCCCUUCUCAGGGGUAGAUGUCUCUCACUUUCUGUUCUCUCACCCCUACUCUUCUUCUUUUUAAAAAAGUUUUCAAAGUUUUAUCUUUAGAUGUUGAACAUUUUAAAUACAUUUAAAUACUCAAAAAUCUCAACAUUUUCAAGAGUGCUCACUGUUAUGAUUGAGCCUCAUGGCUCUGCUACUGGGAAGCGUGGGCGUAAGACUCCUCGAGAGUCAGAUACUCUCGAGGAGCGAGAAAGAAAGAGGCUGCGAGAUAUCUUUGCAGAACCAUCUGACGAGGAUUCUUUUGAGGGGUUUACAGAGAGAAUGGAGGAAGAGGUGGUGAGCUCGGAAGAGGAUGAGAUGGAUUGGACUCGGGUAAGGGAGGAAUUGGGUGCCACUGGCAAUGAUGGGAUGGAAGAUGAUUGGGGACCUUCAGGACUAGACCCAUGGACAAGCUGGAGGGAUGGGACGGGAUCCACAGCUGGGGAUGCUGUGGGGCGUAGUCAGAGGUGUUCCAGCUCUGAUGAGGAAAGUGAUGAGGAAACGCCCGGGUUAAGGAGGGCAGCUGAUAGUGAUGAGGACUUGUAACUGGCAUAAAAUGGGGCUUGGGAGCAAUUGCAAAUUGCGUUGGGCAAGGUAAUCUGGACGAACGCUUGGGAUCUGUGUGGGACGUUUUCCUGAAGACGGGUGUGUUUCGUGUGCUGACUACCUUUGACCUUCCGUCGUCUUCUUGACGGACGCCAUCUGCUACUCUGGAUUUACGGACUGAACUGACUACGGGCUCGGAUUCUCCUACCUGGACUUGGUGAACUACAAACGUCUGCUUCUGCCUUACGACCUUCGGAAAGAACUGGGACUACGCUACUGCUUCAAUCCUCGGCUGUUGUGUUUGUAUUGGAACCUUGCCUGCUGUGUGGAGGAGUAACUUCUAAGUUACUCAAAACAUAGUGCUGGCAGCAGAGAAGCAUCUGCUGCCAAUUAGUUACAUUCUUUUGAACUCUUUGUUCACCAGUUUCUGUUUUGUUUAUUCUCAGGCUGAAGCAAGCUGUUUUGAUUUUGUCCGGAUUAAACUCCGGUUUAAUCCGGUUUAUCUUUUGAACGUUUUUCUUGCCCCUUUUUGCUUUUUAAGGCCAGCGUUGCCUAGCCCUUGUCUUUUACGGGCAUUUUGAGUUCUGUAAAUCCAAUAAACUCUGUUAUCUUUGA